UGAUAACAGUAUUCUACAGGUAAAUCAUCCACCUUGUCACACCGUCUUUUCGUUUUACCUAUUAUUACCUGGGGAUAUAUUUACUAUCAAAGGUCAGGGCUGUUGUAAGCCAUAUUGACUGGUGAACCAUGGGAAGUGGCGCUAGCACCGUUUCGCCACCCUCCUCCCCGGAACCUGACAUUCCCUCCCCACCAAAUAAAGCUUUCGCCGGCAGUAACAAGAAAGAAAAAGACAGUAAUGAAUUUGCAGGAAAUAAUCCCAAUAACCGAGUUGUCACAGAUAAAAAACAAGAAAUUUCAGAUAAAGGAUGUUUUGUACGGACGAAUCAAGUUGCUCCGAUUGUCAUCAAGAAUUGUCGAGAAGAGUUUCAACAUAUUAGUGAAUUUAAAGAACCGAUUGUAAUGGGACGAGUUGCUGAUAAUGC